GACGAACGCUGGCGGCGUGCCUAAUACAUGCAAGUUGAGCGCUGAAGGUUGGUACUUGUACCGACUGGAUGAGCAGCGAACGGGUGAGUAACGCGUGGGGAAUCUGCCUUUGAGCGGGGGACAACAUUUGGAAACGAAUGCUAAUACCGCAUAAAAACUUUAAACACAAGUUUUAAGUUUGAAAGAUGCAAUUGCAUCACUCAAAGAUGAUCCCGCGUUGUAUUAGCUAGUUGGUGAGGUAAAGGCUCACCAAGGCGAUGAUACAUAGCCGACCUGAGAGGGUGAUCGGCCACAUUGGGACUGAGACACGGCCCAAACUCCUACGGGAGGCAGCAGUAGGGAAUCUUCGGCAAUGGACGAAAGUCUGACCGAGCAACGCCGCGUGAGUGAAGAAGGUUUUCGGAUCGUAAAACUCUGUUGGUAGAGAAGAACGUUGGUGAGAGUGGAAAGCUCAUCAAGAGACGGUAACUACCCAGAAAGGGACGGCUAACUACGUG
rnacentral:rRNA from 1 species